CUCAUACCUCCCAGAGGCCUCUGCGUCCAGGGCCAGGGCCCAAGACCCGGAAGCAAAUCCCAAGCUCUUUCACCGCACUUCAGAGGCAGAGACGGAGACCAAUCCGCAGCAGGCAAGGUGGAAGUCGGCGUGACGACACCAAGGGGCGGGGCCGAAACGGCCCAGGGGGCGGGCAUUUGAAAUCACUGCUUUAGAGUAGACCCUAGACAUCAUUUUAUACCUUCAGGAACCAAUUACUUAAUGUGUCUUCCGUCUUUCCCUUCCCCGACCCCCUCCCAGACUCCUUCAUUCCGGUGCUGCGUGGACGGAAAGCCCCGGGUAGCCGACACCAGGUUCCCGGCUAGCGAGAGAGAGCGUAGAGAAGGAUUACACCAAACUGUGUAAAUCCUACGGCUCCUGCUUCCUCUCUCCUGAGCUAGACCCAACAAGCCUAGAGAGCUGGGCUACGGAAAAACUAGUGUUUUCAUUUAAUUGGAUAUGAAGAAAGAACAAAUAUGUACGGGGGCAACCACGAUCUUUACAAAGAACAUAAGUUCCAGGAAAGCAGGAACCUUGUCUCUCUUGUUCACUGGUGUAUCCUCUGCAUAUAGAACAGUGCCUGGCACAUAAUAGGUGCUGAGCUUUGUUUAAACACUGCCCUGAAGAAAUAACCUGUAUACCCGCCCAAGACUGAGUGAUUCAAUAGACCUCCAG